rnacentral:rRNA from 1 species
GACGAACGCUGGCGGCGUGCUUAACACAUGCAAGUCGAACGGAAAGGCCCUGCUUUUGCGGGGUGCUCGAGUGGCGAACGGGUGAGUAACACGUGAGUAACCUGCCCUUGACUUUGGGAUAACUUCAGGAAACUGGGGCUAAUACCGGAUAGGAGCUACUGCUGCAUGGUGGGGGUUGGAAAGUUUCGGCGGUUGGGGAUGGACUCGCGGCUUAUCAGCUUGUUGGUGGGGUAGUGGCUUACCAAGGCUUUGACGGGUAGCCGGGCUGAGAGGGUGACAGGCCACAUUGGGACUGAACUGCGACCCAGACUCCUACGGUAGGCAGCAGUGCGGUAUAGUGCACAGUGGGCGGAAGCCUGAUGCAGCAACGCCGCGUGCGGUAUGUGGUCCUUCGGUUUGUAUUCCGCUGUCGCCUGUGACGAAGCGUGAGUGACGGUAAUGGGUAAAGAAGCACCGGCUAACUACGUG